GACGUAGGGCGCGAGCGUUGUCCGGAUUUACUGGGCGUAAAGCGCACGCAGGCGGUCUGCUAAGUUUGGAGUGACAGUUGGUGGCUUAACUGCCAAAGUGCUUCGAAAACUGACAGACUUGAGGGCUUCAGAGGGACACGGAAUUCCGGGUGGAGUGGUGAAAUGCGUAGAGAUCCGGAGGAACACCAAAGGCGAAGGCAGUGUCCUGGGGAGUACCUGACGCUCAGGUGCGAAAGCCAGGGGAGCGAACGGG
rnacentral:rRNA from 1 species